rnacentral:rRNA from 1 species
AAAAUGACUCUCGGCAACGGAUAUCUCGGCUCUUGCAUCGAUGAAGAACGUAGCGAAAUGCGAUACUUGGUGUGAAUUGCAGAAUCCCGUGAACCAUCGAGUCUUUGAACGCAAGUUGCGCCCGAAGCCAUUAGGCCGAGGGCACGCCUGCCUGGGUGUCACGC